AUGAAAAGACUCUUUUGCCCCUCAUGUGGUAUGUGUAUGUGGGGCAAUAGCGCACACACGCAGCAUCAGUGCGAGGGCAGGAGCACACACACAGCAACACAUACACAUGCACCAACACACACGCAUGCGCACACACACGCAACAACACGCAGCAACACACAUGCACACACACGCAGGCAGCACACACACAUACAUACACGCAGCAGCAGCAGCACACACAGGCAGCACAUAGGCACGCAACAACACACACGCGCGCGCACGUACACACGCAGUAGCAAACACACACGCAGCAGCACACAUGCACACACACAUACAGCAGCAGCACACAUGUGCGCGUGCACCCACACACGCAACAGCACACGCGUGCGCACACACAUACCGCAUUAG
rnacentral:rRNA from 1 species